ACUAUGGAUGAUGAAAAGCUCCGGUCCUAACACACCACGCUGACAGCGCAGGAGCGCGAGCGAGGAGGAUCUACAGCCACAAAUACAACGCGAUCGCUGGACUAUUUACUAUUUAUUUCUUUUCUUAUUUUCUGUCUUCCUCUUUAAGAGUCUGUUAGGAUUUAUAAAGCACUUGUGUAGCGAGUAGAAUUGUGACAGAAAGAGUGGUGUGAGGAGGAAACGCACAGCGCAGGCGCUUCACCUGGCAGGAGAGCUUACAGCAGAGGAGAGUGUAGGGGAAAGGUCACUGUGCUGUCAGUGGGAUGGUAGAAGGGUGGAGUGGAGUCCAGGUUGAAGGAGCAUGGUGAAGCACCAACCCCUGCAGGUCUAUGAGAGACAACUCUGCUUGUCCUGUCUAACGGGGAUCUAUGGCUGCCGCUGGAAACGAUACCAGCGCUCACACGAUGACACCACGAAGUGGGAGUGUAUGUGGACCCUCAUCCUCUUCGGGACUUUCACUCUGCUCCUGUUCUGGUUUUAUUUCUGGUGGGAAGCAAGCAACGACUACAGUGAAUUUAACUGGUAUUUAUAUAACCGGUCUGGCGAGUGGAGUGACGGAACUGUUCCCAUACUGGCCACGACAGCUGCAGGCUUCACCUAUAUCGCAUUUUUAGUGAUAUUAGCGCUAUGUCACAUCGCAGUUGGACAGCAGCUGAACCUGCACUGGAUUCAUAAGAUCGGAGUGACCGCAGCUUUACUGACCACCGUGAUCGGCGUGAUAUCGGUCAGUCAGAUAUGGAGCGAGGAGUGGGAUAUCUUCUCCAUCUCUCUACAAGCCACAGGGCCGUUCCUGCUCAUCGGUGCUCUGGCUGCAGUUACAGCAUUAGCCUGGCUGGUGGCUGGACAAGUGGCUCGAGCUGAAAAGACCACGUUUCAGGUUAUCGUCCUGCUCAUGUACCUGGUGGUGCUUCUGAGCCUCUACCUGACUCCACUGUCCAUCACAUCGCCCUGCAUCAUGGAGCGACACAACCUUAAAGCACGGCCAGCGGUCAUCGGCCAGCGCGGAGCUCCUAUGCUGGCUCCGGAGAACACGCUGCUCUCUUUCCAGAGAGCUGUGGAGGAAAACGUCAGCGGCCUGCAGGCUGAGGUGGCCAUCAGUCUGGAUGGAAUACCGUUCCUGGUGAGAGAUCGGACCCUGAAGAGAACCACAAAUGUGAGAAAAGUCUUUCCUGAGAGACAGAAUGACGACGCCUCGUUCUUCAACUGGACUGAACUGAGCAUGCUCAAUGCCGGCCAGUGGUUUCUAAAGGGUGACCCGUACUGGUCAGUGCAGCACAUGUCUGACCGAGAGCGCUGGUUAGCAGGGAAUCAGACGGUCUGCAGUCUGGAACAGAUGCUGCAGCUGGCAGCUCGCUCUAACCGCUCCGCCCUGAUUACCCUCCGCAGACCUCCACCAGGGCACCCACACAACCUGAGCUGGGUCAACCUCACCCUGAGCACCAUCCUGAACUCAGGCAUCCCUCAACACCUGGUGGUGUGGAGUGUGGACUGGGACAGAGAGCUGGUACAGCAGCAAGAUCCAGGCUUCCAGCAGAUCUCCACUAAAAAACUGACCCUGGAGAAUCUCCAUGAGAAAGGCAUCAGUAGAUUAUUGCUGCGCUACAACCAUGUCAGUGAAGAGGAUAUGCGGAAGUACACAGAAGGUAACGUGAGUGUGACCCUGUACACCGUAAAUGAACCGUGGCUUUACUCUGUACUGUGGUGCAGCGGCGUUCACUCCGUCUCCUCUGAAGCACCGCAGAUCCUUAGGAAAGUUUUAUCGCCUCUCUGGCUAAUGAGUCCACACGAGUACUGCUUGAUUUGGGUCGCUACUGAUCUCAUCUCCUUCGCUCUGGUCCUGGGGAUUUUUAUAUUUCAGAACUAUCACAUGAUCAGGUGGAGGAUGAGUGGCAUGCGUAGCUACAACCCGGAGCAGAUCAUGCUGAGCGCAGCUGUCAGGAGGUCAAGCCGAGACGUCAACAUCAUGAAGGAGAAGCUCAUCUUCUCUGGUCAGCAACAGUAGCAGUUUAACCCCAGCUGUAACCCUCCAUCAUCAUCUCAUCCCUCAUCCUGCAUCAUCCCUAACCAUCCCGACGCUCCUGCUCCAUCCUGCCAUCAACCCUAUCCAUCCUGCUCCAUCCUCCAUCAUCCUGCUCCAUCUCAAACCAUCAAGCUUCAUCCUGCUCCAUCCCGCUCCUAUCUGAUACAUCCUGCUCCAUCAAUAACCAUCCUGCAUCACCAACCCCAUCCUUCCUGAACCAUUCCAUAUCACCACUCUUACUCAAUCCAUCCAUCCAUCCAUCCAUCCAUCCAUCCUUCACCUCCAGUCGUAGCUCAUUAAUGGCUUUGGUUGUCAUGACCAGAGCGUUCUUCAUGAGGUCAGCGACGGCAUCAGCUGUGAGGAAAAUGGGUUCGACUGCUAUACCAAUCAGGACGUCCACUGACUCAGUGCUCCACACUGACUGGGCGAAAAAAGGACGAUUUCCUCCGUGGAUGUUCUGCCUGAAACGCUUUAUUCCUUUCUUUAUUAUAACAUCGCCUAUUUCCCCCUAGCGCUUUCCCACAGUUUUCCCUGUUCAGUGUCCGUGAGCUCUGGAACGUCGCUCUAUCGCUAAAGGAACGUGAUGUAUAUUCUGUAUAGUUGUUUUUUUGUACAGUGCUCAUGAUGACUGGAAUGUCUGCCAUUUUAUUUUAAUUUGACUGUAAACACAGCUGUAAUAGGCCACGCCCUUCAUUUUGGAGACGAGAAACCUUGAGCAGGGUGUGAAGAAUAUUUCUAAACUGACCUGUGUGUGUGUGUGUGUGAGAGAGAGAGUGAGUGAGUGUGUGUGUGUGUGAGAGAGAGAGAAAGAGUGCGUGUGUGUGUGUGUGUGUACGUAUGUUAGGAUUUACUCUGGGACACUCUCCUGCCUUGUCGAAGGGCCCAAGCGACUUCCUGUGUGUUUACAGAGUGCCUGUAUUUCUCUUUACUCUUUGUGACUCUUUUUCAUAUGCAUCCAUCGAUCAUUUUCAAGAACGAUUUUUACUAUUCGUAUUUUAUGCCUUUCAGUCGUUCAGCAUUUUUACAUCGACACACUCGAGUUUCGGAAGGUUUGUUUAUACUCUGUGGAAAGCAGGAAGCCGUAAGAGCGAGUACGAAGCUUUAAAGGAAAAAUCCACCCUGAAUAAACUGCACCUUCAUUUCAAUUUGGAGAAAGCGAUGCAGCCAUUCCUUCCUUCCUUUCUGCAUUCCUGUCUGCUCAUCUGCCUUCCUUCCUACAUUCCCUCCUGCAUUCCUUCCUGCUUUUAUUCCUUCCUUCCAUCCUUCCUCCCUCCCUCCCUGCACUCCUUCAUUCCUUCCUUUCUUCCUGCAUUCCUUUCUCCCUUACUUUUCUCUUUUAAUCUACUGUAACCAUCCAAUAUCAUUCCUUCCUUUUUUUUCUUCCUUUAAAAUUACUUCAUCAAACGAUUAACACAUUUAUAAAGAACUUCAAGGUCUGAAAGCGAUGCAGCGGCGCUUUAAUCCUUCUCACCUCGUCAAACAGAUUUCAUCUUAUAGGUCACUAACUAGCUGUGCUGGGACUGACCUGCUGCAUUGCAGUGUGGGACUUUGAGUAGAAUGUUUGCAUCACAGCUUCUGCUCUCAUGAAUCUAUGAAGAAACGGUGAAUGACGUGAAGUUCUGUUUCAAAACCUGAUCAUUAGCCCUAAUGUUUCUUAGCAUCCUUAGUUACUUAGCAUCCAACCAGAAUCACUGAAAAACUUCAUAAACACUGAAGUAGAAAAAUCCUGCAUGUGUUUCAGGGUGGAUUUCUCCUGUAACACCGUUCUACACUGAAAACGCAUCUCAGCGCUAUGUGCAGCACUACUGGAAACAUAUUUACCGGCCUGGACUCAGAACAAGUGUUGAUAUUUAUAUACUGUACAGUGAUUGUGUCACAUCAUCAUCAUCGUCAUCUUCAUCAUCAUGGGCUUAUUGUAUUUUAUUCACUAUGAAGACUAUAAGUUAUGGCACUGGUGAAACGAAAAAGUUCACGCUCGCACGAACAAAUCGUAUUACUUUGUUUUUAUUUUGUACAUGUCUCAAGGAAUAAAUAAAUACAAUAUUUGGAAAAUUU